rnacentral:tRNA from 1 species
GUUAUUUUGGCAGAAUAGUGCAAUGGAUUUAGAAUCUAUAAAUGUAAUUUUUUUUACAUAUAACAC